rnacentral:snRNA from 14 species
AGCAGGCCCCUUGCACUCCGGUGCUGUAAGGGUUCAGGAAUGCUCUUAUGAGUAAUUCUACAGUAGAAUUUUUGAUAGCGGGGGUGAGCGCGUGCGCCGCCCCCAC